UGCCUGGAGCCUCACCCCCACCUCCCCGUGUUGGCCACCAGCGGCCUGGACCACGACGUCAAGAUCUGGGCACCCACAGCGGUGACCCCCACCGAGCUGAAGGGCCUCAAAGAGGUGAUCAAGAAGAACAAGAUGGAGCGGGACGAGGACAGCCUGCACCACACCGACAUGUUUGACAGCCACAUGCUCUGGUUCCUCAUGCACCACCUCCGACAGAGGCGUCACCACCGGCAGCGCCGACGGGAGCCCGGUGCACCAGACGCCGACUCGGAUGAGUCCCCCAGCUCUUCUGACAGCUCUGAUGAUGAGGAGGAGGGUCCGGACCGGGUGCAGUGUAUGCCCUCCUGAGCCCCCCUGCAACGUGUGCCCCCCCCUCCCUUCCCCCUCAAACCCCGGGGUGCGGUGGGGGGGGGCUUUGGACUGCCCCCAUUUCUCUACUAACAACACUUUGAGCUUUUUAUUGACAUGUUAAGGACCCCCCCACUCCCCCCCCCCUCCACCUUCUUCCUUCCUCAUCCUU